CACCUCUCUCUGACCCCAGACACAUUGGGAGGGAGCGGAACCGAGCUGUGGCCUGGGGUUCCGUGGAGCAGGUUGAGUGUGGAGGAACUGGGGUUCCGUGGAGCAGGUGGGGCGCGGAGGAACCGAGCUGUGGCCUGGGAUUCCGUGGAGCAGAACUCCAACACCUCCGAGAGGACUGAAAACACAGUGACCAGCUCCUACGUGCAUUUCCUGGACAAACCUUUUUUUUUU
rnacentral:lncRNA from 1 species